ACACACACACACACACACACACACACACACACACACACACACACACACACACACACACACACACACACACACACACACACCUUUGACACACUUCUGUAGCACAGUACAGAUGUUUAAAACAAAACACACAAAUUAAAAACAAGAAAAAAUCUUGGCCCCAUCUGUUUAGACAGCUGUGAGAUCAGGUUUGUAACUGCGAUUGUAGUUAUUCAGUUAUAAACUCUCACAUCUGAGUGGUUCCCAUACGGAACUUACGUUAACUACAGAGCCAAAGAGAUGACAAGAUUAAAUUGAUUAAACACACACACACACACACACGUCAUUGAAACCCAUAUCUCUCCUGCCAGAACAGAGGAACAGAGACUUUGACUGGCCUGUAUACAUAUCAGCACCCACCUAAUGGGUUGAGACAUCUGAUCCAAAGGGCGCCCGGACAGUUACUGAACUCGGCUUAUGUUGAUCGCGAAAAGAUUUCAAGAGUUCAGGAUCAGCAGAGCUAACAUUUACAUUGUCAUAAGAAAUGCAAAAGAAAAACUAAUCACACAACUAUGUGUGAUGAAUGAAAGCAGCUCUCAAGUGAAGAUCAAAUUUCACAUCAAACUACUGCCUUUGACAUCUUCUUUAAAUAAAACUAUAGGUAUUCUCCUAUUUGUGAGAUUAUCAAGACUAAGAGACACUUAGAGAGUGAAUAAAUCCCUACUUUGUCUUUGUAACAUUUUAGGACUAUGAAUGGUCACCCGAUCUGGACCAAUGUUCACGCGGCUGCGGUCACCUAAUACAAAUAAAGCCACUUGAUAACACUUGUUUGAUUCAGCGUCUGUUGACCAGAGCCGGCGGAAAAGAUGCAUGUGAAAGAGCUUGUUUUCGGUCUCUUACUAAUGCAAGCAUGUGGCCCACUUUUGGCCCAGACAGCAGCCCCAAAACAACCCGACUCUCCAGGAUUACUGCAGACAG